GUUGCUGCUCGUUCUCAAUCCUUAUCAUCAUUUUUGAUUUCUCUGGUUCAGCUCCAAUUGGUCUUUGGUGUUAUUUUUUGAAUUACCCAGUUGAAAUAUGCUCUGUUUUCGACCUGCCUCAUGUGGUCGAAGGCUUGGAAGGGGGCAGCAACUUGAAAUAUAUUGGUGGAGAUAUGUUUAAGUCUGUUCCUUCCGCUCAUGCAAUUUGCUAAAGGAGCAUGAGAAAUUUUCUUUUGGUUGCUUAGUUCUCCUUAUCAAGGAAAUACAAACAAAAGUGAAUAAAGAUGAGGCGAACAAAUUUUCAGUCACAAUACUCUUUAUCAAUUAAGGCUAUGACACUUAUCAUGAAAAUGAUACAACCAAAAGGAUGAGUAGAAGAAUCGUCCCUGACAAUCAUAACAACAGAAAUAUUGCUGGUAGUAAAAUAAAGUUGCUUAUAUGGCCCUUGAUACCAAGCACGCUU
rnacentral:misc_RNA from 1 species